UACGUAGGGUGCAAGCGUUGUCCGGAAUUAUUGGGCGUAAAGAGCUUGUAGGCGGCCCGGUAAGUCCGCUGUGAAAGUCCAGGGCUCAACCCUGGGAUGCCGGUGGAUACUGUCGGGCUCGAGUCCGGAAGAGGAGUGUGGAAUUCCUGGUGUAGCGGUGAAAUGCGCAGAUAUCAGGAGGAACACCAAUGGCGAAGGCAGCACUCUGGGACGUGACUGACGCUGAGACGCGAAAGCGUGGGGAGCAAACAGG
rnacentral:rRNA from 1 species